UACGGAGGGUGCAAACGUUAUCCGGAUUCACUGGGUUUAAAGGGUGCGUAGGAGGGCAGGUAAGUCAGUGGUGAAAUCUCCGAGCUUAACUUGGAACUGCCGUUGAUACUAUCUGUCUUGAAUACCGUGGAGAUGAGCGGAAUAUGUCAUGUAGCGGUGAAAUGCUUAGAUAUGACAUAGAACACCAAUUGCGAAGGCAGCUCGUUACACGAAUAUUGACUCUGAGGCACGAAAGCGUGGGGAUCAAACAGG
rnacentral:rRNA from 1 species